rnacentral:tRNA from 1 species
GAACACGUGGCUCAAUAGUAGAGCGUUUGACUCUAAUACAAAAGGUUGUAGGUCCAAAUCCCAUGUGUUCC